rnacentral:rRNA from 1 species
GGAGCCUGCGGUUUAAUCGGACUCAACGCCGGGAAGCUCACCGGAUAAGACAGCGGAAUGAUAGCCGGGCUGAAGACUCUGCUUGACUAGCUGAGAGGAGGUGCAUGGCCGUCGUCAGUUCGUACUGUGAAGCAUCCUGUUAAGUCAGGCAACGAGCGAGACCCACGCCAACAGUUGCCAGCAUGUCCUCCGGGAUGGUGGGGACACUGUUGGGACCGCCUCUGCUAAAGAGGAGGAAGGAAUGGGCAACGGUAGGUCAGCAUGCCCCGAAUUAUCCGGGCUACACGCGGGCUACAAUGGUCAGGACAAUGGGCAUCAACACCGAAAGGUGAAAGCAAUCUCUUAAACCUGUCCUUAGUUCGGAUUGUGGGCUGCAACUCGCCCACAUGAAGCUGGAAUCUGUAGUAAUCGCGUCUCAAAAUGGCGCGGUGAAUAUGUCCCUGCUCCUU